rnacentral:rRNA from 1 species
GACGAACGCUGGCGGCGUGCUUAACACAUGCAAGUCGAACGGAAAGGCCCUGCUUUUGUGGGGUGCUCGAGUGGCGAACGGGUGAGUAACACGUGAGUAACCUGCCCUUGACUUUGGGAUAACUUCAGGAAACUGGGGCUAAUACCGGAUAGGAGCUCUUGCUGCAUGGUGGGGGUUGGAAAGUUUCGGCGGUUGGGGAUGGACUCGCGGCUUAUCAGCUUGUUGGUGGGGUAGUGGCUUACCAAGGCUUUGACGGGUAGCCGGCCUGAGAGGGUGACCGGCCACAUUGGGACUGAGAUACGGCCCAGACUCCUACGGGAGGCAGCAGUGGGGAAUAUUGCACAAUGGGCGGAAGCCUGAUGCAGCAACGCCGCGUGCGGGAUGACGGCCUUCGGGUUGUAAACCGCUUUCGCCUGUGACGAAGCGUGAGUGACGGUAAUGGGUAAAGAAGCACCGGCUAACUACGUGCCAGCAGCCGCGGUGAUACGUAGGGUGCGAGCGUUGUCCGGAUUUAUUGGGCGUAAAGGGCUCGUAGGUGGUUGAUCGCGUCGGAAGUGUAAUCUUGGGGCUUAACCCUGAGCGUGCUUUCGAUACGGGUUGACUUGAGGAAGGUAGGGGAGAAUGGAAUUCCUGGUGGAGCGGUGGAAUGCGCAGAUAUCAGGAGGAACACCAGUGGCGAAGGCGGUUCUCUGGGCCUUUCCUGACGCUGAGGAGCGAAAGCGUGGGGAGCGAACAGGCUUAGAUACCCUGGUAGUCCACGCUGUAAACGGUGGGUACUAGGUGUGGGGUCCAUUCCACGGGUUCCGUGCCGUAGCUAACGCUUUAAGUACCCCGCCUGGGGAGUACGGCCGCAAGGCUAAAACUCAAAGGAAUUGACGGGGCCCCGCACAAGCGGCGGAGCAUGCGGAUUAAUUCGAUGCAACGCGUAGAACCUUACCUGGGUUUGACAUGGAUCGGGAGUGCUCAGAGAUGGGUGUGCCUCUUUUGGGGUCGGUUCACAGGUGGUGCAUGCCUGUCGUCAGCUCGUGUCGUGAGAUGUUGGGUUAAGUCCCGCAACGAGCGCAACCCUUGUUCACUGUUGCCAGCACGUUAUGGUGGGGACUCAGUGGAGACCGCCGGGGUCAACUCGGAGGAAGGUGGGGAUGACGUCAAGUCCUCAUGCCCCUUAUGUCCAGGGCUUCACGCAUGCUACAAUGGCUGGUACAGAGAGUGGCGAGCCUGUGAGGGUGAGCGAAUCUCGGAAAGCCGGUCUCAGUUCGGAUUGGGGUCUGCAACUCGACCUCAUGAAGUCGGAGUCGCUAGUAAUCGCAGAUCAGCAACGCUGCGGUGAAAAAGUUCCCGGGGCU